rnacentral:tRNA from 1 species
GGGCCCAUGGCGCAGUUUGGGAGCGCGUCUCAAUGGCAUUGAGAAGGUCGUGGGUUCGAAUCCCACUGGGUCCACCA